GCUCGUUUUUCCCGAGUCCCCAGUUCUCUUGAUUGUACCAAGAGAGUUUAUAUAGCGCAAUGGACUGGCCAGCCACAUGCUCGCUCAUUCGAUUAGUCUUGUGAUCGACCUGGAGACGUCUUUCUCAAUGUCGAAGUUAUAUCUUAGAAAUGCUUCAUUAGUGUUUAACGUUAGUUAUUGGUACACUGCUGCCACUUGAGUCUUGCAAUGCUCCUGAACUGGUCAUUAACGUUAGCUCCAAGUAGCUAGAUUGGUAGUUGUGGAGGGUUGGGCCUUGCAGAACCAUGCACGUGGGGAACUGAAGAUACGUAAACCAUGCCGGGUUCUAGAUUCGGGAGACCACUCCUUCUGGACCUGGCCAGUGUGGAGUGGACUGGAGCAUGCACCAUUGACUGCACAUGGCUGGAGUGACACUGCCCCCAAUGAGUUGAUGACUAGGAGACUCAAGGUGGUGUCCCUUUGAAUAACAUCCCUAUAAGGUCUCCCUGAACUGGACAUGUAGACUGAGAUUCUCUUCCACGUGGCCGGAGUUUCCAAGAUGGUCAGCGCUUCCUUUCUUGCUCUGGAAGUGAUGUCACUGAGGGGAACAGCCAUCAACUGGAGGAAGAAAGGAAUUGUGUGGUAGCCCAUAUGGGACCCACCUGAGACAUGGAGACCUAAAGCUCAAAACAUUGUUGUAAUAAAUAUCACUUGGGAGCAGCAGUGUACAUUGUUCUCCUUAUGCAUGUUCUGCUUUGUUUAUUUUGAGGUUUUGCUGAGUAAUGGUGUUUUUUUGUCUGUGAUUAUAGAAGAGACAGUCUCAUUCUUUGAACUUCAAUAAAUAGGUUUUAACCCGGG